rnacentral:tRNA from 1 species
GGGGACAUAGCUCAGUGGUAGAGUGCUUGCCUAGCAUGCAUGAGGCUCCAGGUUUUAAUCCCUCGUACUACCG